AGCAGGAUAGCUUAGUCGGUAGAGCGUGCAACUCCUUUAUCUCAGUGUCGUGGGUGGGUCAAGCCCCACGCUGGGCAA